rnacentral:rRNA from 1 species
AAUGAACGCUGGCGGCGUGCUUAACACAUGCAAGUCGAACGGAAAGGCUCCUGCUUGCAGGGGUACUCGAGUGGCGAACGGGUGAGUAACACGUGGGUGAUCUGCCCUGCACUUCGGGAUAAGCCUGGGAAACUGGGUCUAAUACCGGAUAGGACGAUGGUUUGGAUGCCAUUGUGGAAAGUUUUUCGGUGUGGGAUGAGCUCGCGGCCUAUCAGCUUGUUGGUGGGGUAAUGGCCUACCAAGGCGUCGACGGGUAGCCGGCCUGAGAGGGUGUACGGCCACAUUGGGACUGAGAUACGGCCCAGACUCCUACGGGAGGCAGCAGUGGGGAAUAUUGCACAAUGGGCGCAAGCCUGAUGCAGCGACGCCGCGUGGGGGAUGACGGCCUUCGGGUUGUAAACUCCUUUCGCUAGGGACGAAGCGUUUUGUGACGGUACCUGGAGAAGAAGCACCGGCUAACUACGUG